UGGGGAAUAUUGGACAAUGGGCGCAAGCCUGAUCCAGCAAUUCCGCGUGGGUGAAGAAGGUCUUCGGAUUGUAAAGCCCUUUCGACGGGGACGAUGAUGACGGUACCCGUAGAAGAAGCCCCGGCUAACUUCGUGCCAGCAGCCGCGGUAAUACGAAGGGGGCUAGCGUUGCUCGGAAUUACUGGGCGUAAAGGGCGCGUAGGCGGCUUAGUUAGUCAGGCGUGAAAGCCCUGGGCUCAACCUGGGGACUGCGCUUGAUACGGCUGGGCUAGAGGAUGGAAGAGGGUCGCGGAAUUCCCAGUGUAGAGGUGAAAUUCGUAGAUAUUGGGAAGAACACCGGUGGCGAAGGCGGCGACCUGGUCCAUUACUGACGCUGAGGCGCGACAGCGUGGGGAGCAAACAGG
rnacentral:rRNA from 1 species